rnacentral:rRNA from 1 species
UACGAAGGGGGCGAGCGUUGUUCGGAUUUACUGGGCGUAAAGGGCGCGCAGGCGGCGCAUUUUGUCAGGCGUGAAAGCCCCGGGCUUAACCUGGGAACUGCGUUUGAUACGGAUGGGCUAGAGUUCGGGAGAGGAGAGUGGAAUUCCCAGUGUAGAGGUGAAAUUCGUAGAUAUUGGGAAGAACACCGGUGGCGAAGGCGGCUCUCUGGACCGAGACUGACGCUGAGGCGCGAAAGCGAGGGGAGCAAACAGG